rnacentral:rRNA from 1 species
AUGAACGCUGGCGGCGUGCCUAAUACAUGCAAGUCGCGCGAACAGACGAGGAGCUUGCUCCUCUGACGUUAGCGGCGGACGGGUGAGUAACACGUGGAUAACCUACCUAUAAGACUGGGAUAACUUCGGGAAACCGGAGCUAAUACCGGAUAAUAUAUUGAACCGCAUGGUUCAAUAGUGAAAGACGGUUUUGCUGUCACUUAUAGAUGGAUCCGCGCCGCAUUAGCUAGUUGGUAAGGUAACGGCUUACCAAGGCAACGAUGCGUAGCCGACCUGAGAGGGUGAUCGGCCACACUGGAACUGAGACACGAUCCAGACUCCUACGGGAGGCAGCAGUAGGGAAUCUUCCGCAAUGGGCGAAAGCUUGACGGAGCAACGCCGCGUGAGUGAUGAAGGUCUUCGGAUCGUAAAACUCUGUUAUUAGGGAAGAACAAAUGUGUAAGUAACUAUGCACGUCUUGACGGUACCUAAUCAGAAAGCCACGGCUAACUACGUG